rnacentral:rRNA from 1 species
AUGGCUUGGGAGAAAUCUGCAAUGCCAGGAACAAUAUCAAGGUUUGAAACUAACUCUUUUCUUCCGCAGUCGAUGGCUUGGGAGAAAUCUGCAGUGCCAGAAACAAUAUCAAGGUUUGAAACUAACUCUUUUCUUCCGCAGUCGAUGGCUUGGGAGAAAUCUGCAGUGCCAGGAACAAUAUCAAGUCGAUGGCUUGGGAGAAAUCUGCAGUGCCAGGAACAAUAUCAAGGUUUGAAAUUGCUGACCAGGAACAAUAUGGGGCACGUGCUCAAUCACAUCCACCCAGCCCCGAGAGCAGUUAUUCCAUCGCCCGGGUCGCCGUGUGCGUCGCGUAUUCAUACCAUAGUAAAUGACGCCCCGGGCCACUGCCUUUGUGUAUAA